rnacentral:rRNA from 1 species
AGUGAACGCUGGCGGUAGGCCUAACACAUGCAAGUCGAACGGCAGCACAGUAAGAGCUUGCUCUUACGGGUGGCGAGUGGCGGACGGGUGAGGAAUACAUCGGAAUCUACUUUUUCGUGGGGGAUAACGUAGGGAAACUUACGCUAAUACCGCAUACGACCUACGGGUGAAAGCAGGGGAUCUUCGGACCUUGCGCGAUUGAAUGAGCCGAUGUCGGAUUAGCUAGUUGGCGGGGUAAAGGCCCACCAAGGCGACGAUCCGUAGCUGGUCUGAGAGGAUGAUCAGCCACACUGGAACUGAGACACGGUCCAGAAUCCUACGGGAGGCAGCAGUGGGGAAUAUUGGACAAUGGGCGCAAGCCUGAUCCAGCCAUACCGCGUGGGUGAAGAAGGCCUUCGGGUUGUAAAGCACUUUUGUUGGGAAAGAAAAGCAGCAGGUUAAUACCCCGCUGUUCUGACGGUACCCAAAGAAUAAGCACCGGCUAACUUCGUG